rnacentral:rRNA from 1 species
CCUGCCCAUUGGAAUCUAAAAGGCCGCGGUAUUGUGACCGUGCAAAGGUAGCAUAAUCAUUAGUUUUUUAAUUGAAGGCUAGAAUGAAUGGUUGGACAAGAAAUAAUCUGUCUUAAUUGAAAAUAUUGAAUUUAACUUUUAAGUGAAAAGGCUUAAAUAAUUUGGAGGGACGAUAAGACCCUAUAAAACUUUAUAUUUGGGGAUAGUAGUUAAUUUUGUUUUAUUUUAUUAUUUAAAAGUAUUUGGUUGGGGCGACGAGAAUAUAAUAUAUAAUAACUGUUCUUAUUUAUAACAAUGCUAUUUGGUUUUAUGAUCCUGAUAAUGGAUUAAAGAUUAAGUUACUUUAGGGAUAACAGCGUAAUUUUUUUUAAGAGUUCUUAUCGACAAAAAAGUUUGCGACCUCGAUGUUGAAUUAAAAGUUCUUUAUAAAGUAGAGAUUAUAAGAGAGGGUCUGUUCGACCUUUAAAAUUUUACAUGAUUUGAGUUCAGACCGGUGUGAGCCAGGUUGG